AGCCUGAUGCAGCCAUGCCGCGUGUGUGAAGAAGGCCUUCGGGUUGUAAAGCACUUUCAGUCGUGAGGAAGGUAGUGUAGUUAAUAGCUGCAUUAUUUGACGUUAGCGACAGAAGAAGCACCGGCUAACUCCGUGCCAGCAGCCGCGGUAAUACGGAGGGUGCGAGCGUUAAUCGGAAUUACUGGGCGUAAAGCGCAUGCAGGUGGUUUGUUAAGUCAGAUGUGAAAGCCCGGGGCUCAACCUCGGAAUUGCAUUUGAAACUGGCAGACUAGAGUACUGUAGAGGGGGGUAGAAUUUCAGGUGUAGCGGUGAAAUGCGUAGAGAUCUGAAGGAAUACCGGUGGCGAAGGCGGCCCCCUGGACAGAUACUGACACUCAGAUGCGAAAGCGUGGGGAGCAAACAGGAUUAGAUACCCUGGUAGUCCACGCCGUAAACGAUGUCUACUUGGAGGUUGUGGCCUUGAGCCGUGGCUUUCGGAGCUAACGCGUUAAGUAGACCGCCUGG
rnacentral:rRNA from 3 species